GGACUUGCAGGAGCGAGAGACCUGAGCUCUCCCCUGGGGCCUGUUGCUUGGUGAUAUUCCUGCCUGGUUACAGACCCUGGUCCCCUAAGAACGUGAGCGGGAAACUGCAGAGCGGAUUCAGGCUCACUCCGCCCCAUGCUGGAGGAAGUGUCAGGAUCCAUCGAGCAGGGACACCUACCCAAUGGCCAGAGUUGACCGACACCAGGAGCAUCUCAAGGCAUCCCCGCUCCUCCGAAUCUCAGCAUCCAGGAUGAAGGUCAAGUGCUUACAGCAGGAGUUCACUGAUAAAUAAUUGCAAGACAGGCUGACUGCAGGUGGGCUCCCAAACACAGCAUCGUCUCUAGGCCCCCUGGACAUUGGAUGUUAGAACGGAGGAGGUACGGGGGUAGAAAAGGGAAGAAUGUUCUGAUGAUGGGGGACCUCCACCUCUUACUGAGGCUGUAGACCAGGCUUCUGGUCCACCGGAAAAAUAGAAGUCAGAAUUUUUCUUUUGCUUCCCUCAUUCUUCCACAUCAUAGACGAGAAAGGUUCCAAGGGGCUCAAUGGGAGAGACCUGGCAGGGACACAAUGACCCCAAGUAAGCCCUCCCUCCUCACCCUUUCCCCCCCCCCUCCUC
rnacentral:lncRNA from 1 species